AGUGAACGCUGGCGGUAGGCCUAACACAUGCAAGUCGAACGGCAGCACAGUAAGAGCUUGCUCUUACGGGUGGCGAGUGGCGGACGGGUGAGGAAUACAUCGGAAUCUACUUUUUCGUGGGGGAUAACGUAGGGAAACUUACGCUAAUACCGCAUACGACCUACGGGUGAAAGCAGGGGAUCUUCGGACCUUGCGCGAUUGAAUGAGCCGAUGUCGGAUUAGCUAGUUGGCGGGGUAAAGGCCCACCAAGGCGACGAUCCGUAGCUGGUCUGAGAGGAUGAUCCGCCACACUGGAACUGAGACACGGACCAGACUCCUACGGGAGGCAGCAGUGGGGAAUAUUGGACAAUGGGCGCAAGCCUGAUCCAGCCAUAGCGCGUGGGUGAAGAAGGCCUUCGGGUUGUAAAGCCCUUUUGUUGGGAAAGAAAAGCAGCAGGUUAAUACCACGCUGUUCUGACGGUACCCAAAGAAUAAGCACCGGCUAACUUCGUG
rnacentral:rRNA from 1 species